rnacentral:rRNA from 1 species
UUUAAAUGUAAAUUGAUAUACUAAAGUAGUAAUAGUUAAGUUCUUUAAAUUUAAAGAUUUUGGCGGUAUUUUAGUCUAUUCAGAGGAACCUGUUCUAUAAUUGAUAAUCCACGAUUAAUUGAACUUAAUUUAUUAAUUUGUAUAUCGUCGUUUAUAAAUUAUUUUAAAAGAAUUUAAAUUUUUAAGAUUUUUUAUUAAAAAAUAUAUCAGAUCAAGGUGCAGUUUAUAAUUAAGAAGAAAUGGGUUACAAUAAAUUUAUUUAUACGAAUUAAUAUAUAAAAUUAUAUUAUGAAGGAGGAUUUGAUAGUAAUAAAAUUAAAUUCAAUUUUAUGAUUUUAGCUAUAAAAUAUGU